UUUUCCUACGGGGCGCAGCAGUAGGGAAUCUUUCACAAUGGGCGAAAGCCUGAUGGAGCAACGCCGCGUGCAGGAUGAAGGCCUUCGGGUUGUAAACUGCUUUUAUAAGCGAGAAAUAUGAUGGUAACUUAUGAAUAAGGAUCGGCUAACUACGUGCCAGCAGCCGCGGUCAUACGUAGGAUCCGAGCAUUAUCCGGAGUGACUGGGUGUAAAGAGUCGCGUAGGUGGCAUAAUGAGUAG
rnacentral:rRNA from 1 species